GUGACGUAGUCAGCCGCAGUUAAACACUGGAGUGCUCGCCGAGCAGCGUGAUAUAGUCUGCCUAUCACAUAUAAAAUAGCAUUUAAUAUCUUCGCAAUUAGUUUACAAACUAAGGAUUUCCAGAAAGAUUGAAACUGAAAGAUGCUGACUACAUUGGACCCAAUGCUGCACCACACUAGUGGACCACAGUGAGUGUGACGGAGUUCCCCGCGUCUUUGAUAAGCUGAACAAUGUCGUUAUGAGAGAGCUCCACAAUGGACUGACUGUUCACAGCGGAAAUACGGUCACCUACGUUCAGCAGUCCGCAGCGGUCAGUCGGACUGCCCUCGAUUAUUCGACCGAUCUUAUGAGGAAUCACUGCAACACACACUUAGGCAAAUCACUUAGCGGAACUGAAAUGGCUGGUGUUGUAUUUAUAAUCAUAAUAAAUUAAUCAUAAGAAAUGUAACAAUUCUGGUGUUGUGUAAAACUCAAACAGCUGGAUGGAGUGGAAUGGAUCAGAGAACAGGGGCCUCAAGGCACUUUUUAAAUUUAAACUACUGCAUUUUUAAAGACAUCUUAAAAUCUAAAUAAAUGAACACGCAACGCUGAUGACGUAAUAUGCUCAAUGAAAAGUGCAAGGCGUGAUGCAACCACCACUGACUACCCUUUACACAGAGUAAGUAUGGACAUAAAAGUCAACGGAAAUGAAGAAACAGCUAUUCAUGUGCAAAAAAAACACUCAUUUCAACAUGACAUCAAACCAAAACAACCAUGGUAAAAUGAAAUUAUUAAACUAAAACGAAAAAUUAAUAAAUACAAAAUCUGAAAUGAA